rnacentral:rRNA from 1 species
AGCGAACGUUAGCGGCGGGCUUAACACAUGCAAGUCGCACGAGAACGAGGGGGCAACUCCUCUAGUAAAGUGGCGCACGGGUGCGUAACACGUAGGUGAACUACCCUCCGAUGGGGGACAACCGGCCGAAAGGCUGGCUAAUACCGCGUAAGUCAACGGGGCAUUCGGGCUCUGUUGGGAAAGCGGCCCUCUUCACGAAAGGUCGCGUCGGAGGUUGUGCCUGCGGCCCAUCAGCUAGUGGUGAGGAAUGGCUCACCAAGGCUAAGACGGGUAGCUGGUCUGAGAGGAUGAUCAGCCACACUGGAACUGAGACACGGUCCAGACUCCUACGGGAGGC